rnacentral:misc_RNA from 1 species
UUUCCGUAGGUGAACCUGCGGAAGGAUCAUUAAAGUUAUAGUCCCCCGGCCCUCUGGGCUGGGGUCUUCUAUACCACCCUUUGUUUAUUACACCUUUGUUGCUUUGGCAGGCCUGCCCUCGGGCUGCUGGCUCCGGCCGCCUCGCGUCUGCCAGAGGACCUAAACUCUGUUUGUAUAUGAAGUCUGAGUACUAUAUAAUAGUUAAAACUUUCAACAACGGAUCUCUUGGUUCUG